UUCGAGCGUCAUUACAACCCUCAAGCCCGGCUUGGUAUUGGGUGCCGUCCCCCGGGGCGCGCCUAGAAAGCAGCGGCGGUGCGGCCGGUGAUCGAGCGUAGUAACUACUCCCGCUUCGAGCCACCCGGGCGUUCCAGCCGGACAACACCUAUUUUUCAAUGGUUGACCUCGGAUCAGGUAAGGAUACCCGCUGAACUUAA
rnacentral:misc_RNA from 1 species